rnacentral:rRNA from 1 species
UACGUAGGGACCGAGCGUUGUCCGGAUUCAUUGGGCGUAAAGAGCUCGUAGGCGGUUUGUCGCGUCUGCCGUGAAAGUCCGGGGCUCAACUCCGGAUCUGCGGUGGGUACGGGCAGACUAGAGUGAUGUAGGGGAGACUGGAAUUCCUGGUGUAGCGGUGAAAUGCGCAGAUAUCAGGAGGAACACCGAUGGGCGAAGGCAGGUCUCUGGGCAUUAACUGACGCUGAGGAGCGAAAGCAUGGGGAGCGAACAGG